GUGUAUAUAAUAUAUGUGUGUGUGUGUGUGUAUUGUGUGUGUAAUUUUUUCAAAUCCAAUUGUUGUAAAAGAUAACUGUUUUGUCAUAGAGCCUGCAUAUUUUUAUCUAAAUAUAUGUUCGUACCAUUUUAGUCAUUAUACUCUUUUCACGUUUUAAACUUCCAGUUAGAGACCAAACUUUUGAAAAUUGACUAGAGAAAUGCUGCUGUUGAGUUUACUUUCUUCUGAAAGAAUAUCUUUUCCUGUAAUGGGAGGUACAAUAUUUCUGUACAGAGCUACUUCACUCCCACAAGUCAUAGGUCAUCAAGAAGAGCAUCUACAUCCCCAAAUGUUUCAGAGUAAUCACUGGAGGUCAAAUGUCUUUGCCAAUUUGAGUUUUUCCACUUGAACAAGAAAAGACUGUCAAGGGAAAGCCAAUCAAUUUCACAAUGUUUAGCCUUAGAGCCACUCAACAGUCCUGUUUGGGCCAGUCUCCUGGAAUAUGAGAAAAGAUGAAGAAUGGGAGUGUUAUGGAGGGCAUACGCCCCUCUGAUCAUCACCACAAAGAGUGGAGCCCUUCAUGGUCCCAGCUGAAAGCCUGGAGAGGCUGCGCGCGGUGGCUCACGCCUGUAAUCCCAACGCUUUGAGAGGCCAAGGCAGGUGGAUCACUUGAGCGCAGGAAUUCAAGACCAGCCUGGGCAACAUGGCAAAACCCCAUCUCUACAAAAAGUACAAAAAUUAACCGGGCGUGGUGGUGGGUGCCUGUAGUCCCAGAUACUCCGGAGGCUGACGCAGGAGAAUCGCUUGAACCUGGGAGGCGCAGGUUGCAGUGAGCCGACAUCUCGCCACUGCACUCCAGCCUGGGGGACAGAAUGAGACUCCAACUCAAAAAAAGAAAAAAAGAAAAAGAAAGCCUGGGGAUAUUUACCAGGACCCUUCCUCCUUUUCAGGCCCUAGAUUCUAAGAUCCUGCUUUGCAGAUCUGAAGUGGGACCCAGGAAUCUUUAACAAGCUCUAAGCCUGCCGAGUGCCUGCGAUUGCAGGCACGCGCCGCCACGCCUGACUGGUUUUGGUGGAGACGGGGUUUCGCUGUGUUGGCCGGGUCUCCAGCCCCUAACCGCGAGUGAUCCGCCAGCCUUGGCCUCCCGAGGUGCCGGGAUUGCAGACAUACAGAUAUUCUUUUACUUGUUCUGGAGAAAAUAGAAUUUUAGAAAUUCAUAACAGCCAUCUUUUUUAAAGUAUCUGUUUAUCUUGUAAAUAUACAUAUUCCUGUACAUAUUGUUUGAAUUCCAUUACAGACAUUAUUAUGAAUGGUUCAUAUAUAUUUUGAUAAUGACUUAUAUAAUAUCAAAUCCACUUAUAAACAUAGUAUUUGGGCAGAAAUUGUCAUGAUGAAUUAGAUGAUCUCUAAAGUUUUUUCUAGCUUUAAUAUGAGGUGAUUCUAAGUAGCAGGUACAAUGGACAAUAUGUGUGUGUGUGUAUAUAUAUAUAUAUAUAUAUAUAUAUAUUUAAAAUGGACUCUAUAGUUAGAAGCUAUUUUUGCAGUUAAUAAAA
rnacentral:lncRNA from 1 species